GUUGUACGACGGCCAGUGAAUUGUAAUACGACUCACUAUAGGGCGAAUUGGGCCCGACNUCGCAUGCUCCCGGCCGCCAUGGCCGCGGGNAUUUGAGAGUUUGAUCCUGGCUCAGAAUGAACGCUGGCGGCAUGCCUAACACAUGCAAGUCGAACGAAGGCUUCGGCCUUAGUGGCGCACGGGUGCGUAACGCGUGGGAAUCUGCCCUUGGGUUCGGAAUAACAGUUAGAAAUGACUGCUAAUACCGGAUGAUGUCGUAAGACCAAAGAUUUAUCGCCCAAGGAUGAGCCCGCGUAGGAUUAGCUAGUUGGUGAGGUAAAAGCUCACCAAGGCGACGAUCCUUAGCUGGUCUGAGAGGAUGAUCAGCCACACUGGGACUGAGACACGGCCCAGACUCCUACGGGAGGCAGCAGUGGGGAAUAUUGGACAAUGGGCGAAAGCCUGAUCCAGCAAUGCCGCGUGAGUGAUGAAGGCCUUAGGGUUGUAAAGCUCUUUUACCCGGGAUGAUAAUGACAGUACCGGGAGAAUAAGCUCCGG
rnacentral:rRNA from 1 species